CCAGACUCCUACGGGAGGCAGCAGUAGGGAAUAUUGCUCAAUGGGGGAAACCCUGAAGCAGCAACGCCGCGUGGAGGAUGAAGGUUUUAGGAUUGUAAACUCCUUUUGCUAGAGAAGAUUAUGACGGUAUCUAACGAAUAAGCACCGGCUAACUCCGUGCCAGCAGCCGCGGUAAUACGGAGGAUGCGAGCGUUAUCCGGAUUUAUUGGGUUUAAAGGGUGCGCAGGCGGUCUGUUAAGUCAGCGGUCAAACGCGGGGGCCCCCCCCCGGCCCGCCGUUGAAACUGGCAGUCUCGAGUUGGAGAGAAGUAUGCGGAAUGCGCGGUGUAGCGGUGAAAUGCAUAGAUAUCGCGCAGAACUCCGAUUGCGAAGGCAGCAUGCCGGCUCCACACUGACGCUGAGGCACGAAAGCGUGGGUAUCGAACAGGAUUAGAUACCCGCGUAACA
rnacentral:rRNA from 1 species